UCCACGCCGUAAACGAUGAGAACUAGCUGUCAGGGCCUUUCAGGCUUUGGUGGCGCAGCUAACGCAUUAAGUUCUCCGCCUGGGGAGUACGGUCGCAAGAUUAAAACUCAAAGGAAUUGACGGGGGCCUGCACAAGCGGUGGAGCAUGUGGUUUAAUUCGAAGCAACGCGCAGAACCUUACCAGCGUUUGACAUCCCGAUCGCGGUUACCAGAGAUGGUU
rnacentral:rRNA from 1 species